AUUGAACGCUGGCGGCAGGCCUAACACAUGCAAGUCGAGCGGAUGAAGUGAGCUUGCUCCUGGAUUCAGCGGCGGACGGGUGAGUAAUGCCUAGGAAUCUGCCUGGUAGUGGGGGAUAACGUCCGGAAACGGGCGCUAAUACCGCAUACGUCCUGAGGGAGAAAGUGGGGGAUCUUCGGACCUCACGCUAUCAGAUGAGCCUAGGUCGGAUUAGCUAGUUGGUGGGGUAAAGGCCUACCAGGGCGACGUUCCGUAACUGGUCUGAGAGGAUGAUCAGUCACACUGGUACUGAGACACGGUCCAGACUCCUACGGGAGGCAGAAGGGGGGAAUAUUGGACAAUGGGCGAAAGCCUGAUCCAGCCAUGCCGCGUGUGUGAAGAAGGUCUUCGGAUUGUAAAGCACUUUAAGUUGGGAGAAAGGGAAGUAAGUUAAUACCUUGCUGUUUUGACGUUACCAACAGAAUAAGCACCGGCUAACUUCGUG
rnacentral:rRNA from 1 species